rnacentral:rRNA from 1 species
UACGAAGGGGGCGAGGCGUUGUUCGGAAUCACUGGGCGUAAAGGGCGCGUAGGCGGCCCCUCUUAGUCGCGUGUGAAAGCCCCGGGCUCAACCUGGGAACGGCGCGCGAAACGGGAGGGCUGGAGUUCGGGAGAGGAGAGUGGAAUUCCCAGUGUAGAGGUGAAAUUCGUAGAUAUUGGGAAGAACACCGGUGGCGAAGGCGGGCUCUCUGGGACCUGCCU